UUAAGCGACUAAGCGUACACGGUGGAUGCCCUGGCAGUCAGAGGCGAUGAAGGACGUGCUAAUCUGCGAAAAGCGCCGGCGAGGUGAUAUGAACCUUUGACCCGGCGAUGUCCGAAUGGGGAAACCCAGUGUGUUCCGACACACUAUCGUUAACUGAAUACAUAGGUUAACGAGGCGAACCGGGGGAACUGAAACAUCUAAGUACCCCGAGGAAAAGAAAUCAACCGAGAUUCCCCCAGUAGCGGCGAGCGAACGGGGAGCAGCCCAGAGUCUGAAUCAGCUUGUGUGUUAGUGGAACGGUCUGGAAAGUCCGACGGUACAGGGUGAUAGUCCCGUACACGAAAAUGCACAGGCUGUGAACUCGAAGAGUAGGGCGGGACACGUGGUAUCCUGUCUGAAUAUGGGGGGACCAUCCUCCAAGGCUAAAUACUCCUGACUGACCGAUAGUGAACCAGUACCGUGAGGGAAAGGCGAAAAGAACCCCGGCGAGGGGAGUGAAAAAGAACCUGAAACCGUGUACGUACAAGCAGUGGGAGCACCUUCGGGUGUGACUGCGUACCUUUUGUAUAAUGGGUCAGCGACUUAUAUUCUGUAGCAAGGUUAACCGUAUAGGGGAGCCGAAGGGAAACCGAGUCUUAACUGGGCGUUAAGUUGCAGGGUAUAGACCCGAAACCCGGUGAUCUAGCCAUGGGCAGGUUGAAGGUUGGGUAACACUAACUGGAGGACCGAACCGACUAAUGUUGAAAAAUUAGCGGAUGACUUGUGGCUGGGGGUGAAAGGCCAAUCAAACCGGGAGAUAGCUGGUUCUCCCCGAAAGCUAUUUAGGUAGCGCCUCGUGAACUCAUCUUCGGGGGUAGAGCACUGUUUCGGCUAGGGGGCCAUCCCGGCUUACCAACCCGAUGCAAACUACGAAUACCGAAGAAUGUUAUCACGGGAGACACACGGCGGGUGCUAACGUCCGUCGUGAAGAGGGAAACAACCCAGACCGCCAGCUAAGGUCCCAAAGUCAUGGUUAAGUGGGAAACGAUGUGGGAAGGCACAGACAGCCAGGAUGUUGGCUUAGAAGCAGCCAUCAUUUAAAGAAAGCGUAAUAGCUCACUGGUCGAGUCGGCCUGCGCGGAAGAUGUAACGGGGCUAAACCAUGCACCGAAGCUGCGGCAGCGACACUAUGUGUUGUUGGGUAGGGGAGCGUUCUGUAAGCCGUUGAAGGUGGCCUGUGAGGGUUGCUGGAGGUAUCAGAAGUGCGAAUGCUGACAUAAGUAACGAUAAAGCGGGUGAAAAGCCCGCUCGCCGGAAGACCAAGGGUUCCUGUCCAACGUUAAUCGGGGCAGGGUGAGUCGACCCCUAAGGCGAGGCCGAAAGGCGUAGUCGAUGGGAAACAGGUUAAUAUUCCUGUACUUGGUGUUACUGCGAAGGGGGGACGGAGAAGGCUAUGUUAGCCGGGCGACGGUUGUCCCGGUUUAAGCAUGUAGGCGGAACGAUUAGGUAAAUCCGGUCGUUUUUUAACGCUGAGGUGUGAUGACGAGGCACUACGGUGCUGAAGUAACAAAUGCCCUGCUUCCAGGAAAAGCCUCUAAGCAUCAGGUAACAUCAAAUCGUACCCCAAACCGACACAGGUGGUCAGGUAGAGAAUACCAAGGCGCUUGAGAGAACUCGGGUGAAGGAACUAGGCAAAAUGGUGCCGUAACUUCGGGAGAAGGCACGCUGAUAUGUAGGUGAAGCCCCUGCGGGUGGAGCUGAAAUCAGUCGAAGAUACCAGCUGGCUGCAACUGUUUAUUAAAAACACAGCACUGUGCAAACACGAAAGUGGACGUAUACGGUGUGACGCCUGCCCGGUGCCGGAAGGUUAAUUGAUGGGGUUAGCGGCAACGCGAAGCUCUUGAUCGAAGCCCCGGUAAACGGCGGCCGUAACUAUAACGGUCCUAAGGUAGCGAAAUUCCUUGUCGGGUAAGUUCCGACCUGCACGAAUGGCGUAAUGAUGGCCAGGCUGUCUCCACCCGAGACUCAGUGAAAUUGAACUCGCUGUGAAGAUGCAGUGUACCCGCGGCAAGACGGAAAGACCCCGUGAACCUUUACUAUAGCUUGACACUGAACACUGGUCCUUGAUGUGUAGGAUAGGUGGGAGGCUUUGAAGUGUGGACGCCAGUCUGCAUGGAGCCGUCCUUGAAAUACCACCCUUUAAUGGCUGGUGUUCUAACGUAGACCCGUAAUCCGGGUUGCGGACAGUGUCUGGUGGGUAGUUUGACUGGGGCGGUCUCCUCCCAAAGAGUAACGGAGGAGCACGAAGGUUAGCUAAUCCUGGUCGGACAUCAGGAGGUUAGUGCAAUGGCAUAAGCUAGCUUGACUGCGAGAGUGACGGCUCGAGCAGGUGCGAAAGCAGGUCAUAGUGAUCCGGUGGUUCUGAAUGGAAGGGCCAUCGCUCAACGGAUAAAAGGUACUCCGGGGAUAACAGGCUGAUACCGCCCAAGAGUUCAUAUCGACGGCGGUGUUUGGCACCUCGAUGUCGGCUCAUCACAUCCUGGGGCUGAAGUAGGUCCCAAGGGUAUGGCUGUUCGCCAUUUAAAGUGGUACGCGAGCUGGGUUUAGAACGUCGUGAGACAGUUCGGUCCCUAUCUGCCGUGGGCGCUGGAGAAUUGAGGGGGGCUGCUCCUAGUACGAGAGGACCGGAGUGGACGCAUCACUGGUGUUCGGGUUGUCAUGCCAAUGGCACUGCCCGGUAGCUAAAUGCGGAAGAGAUAAGUGCUGAAAGCAUCUAAGCACGAAACUUGCCCCGAGAUGAGUUCUCCCUGAGACUUUAAGUCUCCUGAAGGAACGUUGAAGACGACGACGUUGAUAGGUCGGGUGUGUAAGCGCAGCGAUGCGUUGAGCUAACCGAUACUAAUGAACCGUGAGGCUUAACCUU
rnacentral:rRNA from 1 species